UAGGGAAUUUUCGUCAAUGGGCGCAAGCCUGAACGAGCGAUGCCGCGUGAGUGAAGAAGGCCUUCGGUCGUAAAGCUCUGUUGCGGGGGAAAAAAGGCAGCAUCAGGAAAUGGGUGCUGACUGAUGGUGCCCCGCCAGAAAGUCACGGCUAACUACGUGCCAGCAGCCGCGUAAUCUGUAUCU
rnacentral:rRNA from 1 species